UACAGAGGUCUCAAGCGUUGUUCGGAUUCAUUGGGCGUAAAGGGUGCGUAGGCGGUCUGUUGCGUCCGCUGUGAAAACCCAGGGCUUAACCCUGGGCUUGCAGUGGAUACGGGCAGACUAGAGGCAGGUAGGGGAGAAUGGAAUUCCCGGUGUAGCGGUGAAAUGCGCAGAUAUCGGGAGGAACACCGGUGGCGAAGGCGGUUCUCUGGGCCUGACCUGACGCUGAGGAGCGAAAGCGUGGGGAGCGAACAGG
rnacentral:rRNA from 1 species